UAGCUGAUUGCACCAACAAAUAGUUGAUGCAAUAUCGACUAUGUCGACUAAAAUUCUGGGUAGAAUUAUGAUGAUGACAUUGUCUGCCCAUGUGUCUUGACCAAAUUACGUGCCAGCAGUCGCGGUAAUACGUAGAAGACUAGUGUUAUUCAUCUUUAAUAGGUUUAAAGGGUACCUAGACGGUAAAUCAAGCCCAUAUGGGGACUACUUUACUAGAGUUACUUAUGAGGGGGUAUUAAAGUACUGCUGGUGUAGAGAUGAAAUUCUGUCAUACCUCUUUCGUGGGAAAAUUAAUGGCACAGGUAUAGGCGAAAGCAUCCCCUUAUGUGAUAACUGACGUUGAAGGACGAAGGCUUUGUGUCGCGAACAGGAUUAGAUACCCCAGUAGUCAAAGCAGAAAAUGAUGAAUGUCAUAGAUUAGAGAUAAGAUUUUUUAUUCUAUAAAUGAAAGUGUAAGCAUUCCACCUCAAGAGUAAUUUGGCAACAUUGGAACUGAAAUCAUUAGACCGUUUCUGAAACCAGUAGUGAAGUAUGUUGUUUAAUUUGAUGUUCCGCAAAAAACCUUACCACAAUUUGAAUAGUUAUAUUAGUUUUCCCACCUAUAUCAUUUGAUUUAUUAGAUAAUAAUGCGCGGAAGAANANUAUAUUUACAAGCGUUGCACGGCUGUCUUCAGUUAAUGUCGUGAGACUAUGGUUAGUUCCAUUAAUUAACGUAAACCCUUACUUUAUUUU
rnacentral:rRNA from 1 species